UUCCUUGUCCUUUCCUCACUUCUGGUAGUUGCUGGCAAUCUUUGGAAUUCCUUGGAUGGCAUUCAGUGUCCCCCUCCACUGUCACAUGGCCCUCUGUGCCCUCCUGCAGGGAAGAAUCCAGUGCCGCAGAGAACAUAGUAAGAGGGCCGUGAAAGGAAUAGCAGAGGUCAGCCAAAGGCACCAUCUUGGAAGGGUCCAGUCC